rnacentral:piRNA from 1 species
GUCACUUCUUGAGCCGCUUGAUCUGUCUGG